rnacentral:misc_RNA from 1 species
AGGGACCGUCCAAAGCUGCUGUUCGAUACAGUUUGCGCUCUUACCGACUUGCAGUACGUGGUGUUUCAUGCUGCAGUGAGUUCAAAUGGGACUGUGGCUGAUCAGGAGUAUUUUAUUCGGCAUAAAGGUGGCUGCAUUUUGGAUUCAGAGAGUGAAAGGAAAAGGCUUCUACAGGGCCUUGUUGCAGCCAUAGAGAGAAGAGUUUCACAUGGAUUGAGGCUGGAACUCUGCACUUUAAACAGAGUGGGAUUGUUAUCAGACAUCACACGG